UACGGAGGGUGCAAGCGUUAUCCGGAUUUACUGGGUUUAAAGGGUGCGUAGGUGGGCCUGUAAGUCAGUGGUGAAAUCUUCAAGCUUAACUUGGAAACUACCAUUGAUACUAUAGGUCUUGAAUUAUCUGGAGGUAAGCGGAAUAUGUCAUGUAGCGGUGAAAUGCUUAGAGAUGACAUAGAACACCCAUUGCGAAGGCAGCUUACUACGGAUUGAUUGACACUGAGGCACGAAAGCGUGGGGAUCAAACAGG
rnacentral:rRNA from 1 species